AGAAUCAACGCUGGCGGCGUGCCUAACACAUGCAAGUCGAACGAGAAAGUGGAGCAAUCCAUGAGUAAAGUGGCGACCGGGUGAGUAACACGUGACUAACCUACCUUCGAGUGGGGGAUAACCUCGGGAAACCGAGGCUAAUACCGCAUAACAUCGUGAGAUCAAAGUAGUAAUGCGCUGGAAGAGGGGGUCGCGGCUGAUUAGCUAGUUGGCGGGUAAUGGCCCACCAAGGCGAAGAUCGGUA
rnacentral:rRNA from 1 species